AAGGGCCUGUGAUGAUGCUUCAAAAGUUUGCCUACAUUGUCUGAAUAUUCAAUGAUAAGUCAUUAUUUGUGUCUGAGGCCUAU